rnacentral:rRNA from 1 species
UACAGAGGGGGCAAGCGUUGUUCGGAUUUACUGGGCGUACAGGGAGCGUAGGCGGUUGGAUAAGCCCUCCGUGAAAUCUCCAGGCUUAACCUGGAAAGUGCAGAGGGGACUGUUCAGCUAGAGGAUGGGAGAGGAGCGCGGAAUUCCCGGUGUAGCGGUGAAAUGCGUAGAGAUCGGGAGGAAGGCCGGUGGCGAAGGCGGCGCUCUGGAACAUUUCUGACGCUGAGGCUCGAAAGCGUGGGGAGCAAACAGG